UUUCAGAACCCUGUACACUGUUUCAGAGGACGGCGCGCGAACUGCCCGGUACUUGCCACCAGCUUGUCAGUGUGAGCGCCGGAAGGGAGGUCUCUGGAGCGGCUUCGGAUUUCGAGCCAGUCGCAGUCUUGGUCUGAUCCCCAGAGCGUGGCCAGUCCAGCGACCGCACCAGCAACUCGUAGGUGACAUUUUUACUGAGCUCUGGCGGCACUACAUGAACGGACGACACGCCAUCCCGAGAUAUUCGUCGUCAGUUCACCAGCUUACUCCCCAAUGCGUGCCCAGGCGCCAGAGCUGCGGGAAAGCCUCCAGCGCCCUACAGGUGGCUGCAAGGGGAGUGCUGAAUCUGUUCGCUUGAGUGUUGUGAUUCCACCAAGUCUACUCCAACUCGUCACAUCAAUAACCCUGACAACUUUGCCAUAAGGGUUCUUCAAAGACUAUCGAACCAUUCUGGAGCUGGAUCGUGUAGUCUGGAUCAUGUUCAAAAAGAGAUGGCAACACUUCGGGACUGCUUCAGGCUUCUUCGCCUCCAACAGCUUUGCUUGGACUGCUUUCACAGUGACAUUUUCCCCGCAUAAUGUGUUUCCGUGAAGUCCAUAUCUAAAUAUUCAAACAAACCAUGUUCCUUUGUUUGAAUGCAAGUGCUAGUGGCUUUUGAUUACAGUGAUCACAACUAUUUACUUGAGAUAUAACAGGGCAAAGUAUAAAAUUUAUUGGUUUAUAUCAGUGUAUCGAGGCGUAUCAUAUUGUUUUGAUGUGGCCAGAGAUAGUCGUAAAGAUGGUUUCUCUCCAUUGGCUGGGUGAGUGCCCAUGUCACAUUGUCAAAUUUUUUGUCUCUCUGUCUUAUCUUGCUGCCCAAGACCUCCUGACUCUGUUGAACUUGGGGCAGAUAAAGAUUUAGUAAUAAGCUCUUUUAUUUUAAUUUUUCAAGGGGAGUUGACAAUUUUUCCUGGUAAAGACACUCAAUUUCAGAUAAAAUUGUUUAUACUGAACAAUGGUUCGUUUAUUUAGCAACUGUAGUCCUUACUUAGUUGGAAGCUUCUUGCUUGGUAUUUUUUAAUCAGAUGACAAGACUAUUCAUGGGAAACUUGAAUUUCAAACUGGUAAUGCUACCAUUUUGGAGAUUUGUUUGUGAAAGUUUGCACUGAGAGUUUGAGCAACAGCAGCAACUUCACAGGAAUAGGCAUUGGUUUAUUUGGUUUAUUUCCCAGGAGGGCUACAUUCUGACUCAGGAUUAUUUUGAAAUGUUUGUAAGAUAGCAUUUUUAGAACAAACUUUGUUAGUUUUGUAUCUGACUUUUGGAUAUAUUUAGUAUUUGAUGUGCAUGUUAAAGUACAGUGACAAUUCAUCUUGCUUCAGUCCUCAUGUAUUACUCCUAUUAUAUUUCUGGCUUCAAGCAAGAAUCAUUGAACUGAACUUAACUAGUGGGGAAGUGAGAUCCAAUUCCUUUAGCAAAAUGACUUAUGUUUCUAUUUUCUCUGUGCCUUUGCUAUGCCUCUGUACGUAAGCACUGUAUGUAUUGCUCCCUGCCUUGUUAAAGUAUAGUUUUUAUUUUG
rnacentral:lncRNA from 1 species